rnacentral:rRNA from 1 species
CCUACGGGUGGCAGCAGUGAGGAAUAUUGGUCAAUGGACGAGAGUCUGAACCAGCCAAGUAGCGUGAAGGAUGACUGCCCUAUGGGUUGUAAACUUCUUUUAUAUGGGAAUAAAAUGUUCCACGUGUGGGAUUUUGUAUGUACCAUAUGAAUAAGGAUCGGCUAACUCCGUGCCAGCAGCCGCGGUAAUACGGAGGAUCCGAGCGUUAUCCGGAUUUAUUGGGUUUAACGGGAGCGUAGGUGGAUUGUUAAGUCAGUUGUGAAAGUUUGCGGCUCAACCGUAAAAUUGCAGUUGAAACUGGCAGUCUUGAGUAAAGUAGAGGUGGGCGGAAUUCGUGGUGUAGCGGUGAAAUGCUUAGAUAUCACGAAGAACUCCGAUUGCGAAGGCAGUUCACUGGACUGCAACUGACACUGAGGCUCGAAAGUGUGGGUAUCAAACAGGAUUAGAUACCCUAGUAGUC